UAAUUAUUAAAAUUUAUUACGACUACUACCAUAAAUAAUAGUACUACUAAUAUUGACUUUUCUCGUUUUUUCUUUUUUUGGUAGGAUGUCGUUUUUUUAGACGAAGAAGUAUUUGAUUUUUUUGUUAUCCUAAUUAAUUGCUCCUUUUUAAGCGAAUGGAAUGAUCCCCCAAAUGAUUUACUAUUCGCCAUUAUUAACGUUUCAUUACUUUCUACAGUUUUGAAUUUAAAAAUUAAAUCGUUUUGCUUUAAUUUUAUAUACUCUUUUCGACCAUUUUUUUUGAGAAAUGUGUUACCUUUAAAUAAAAACGAGAAAAUAAUAAUUCACAAAUUAUUUUUUAUGUUAUUAAUUGUCAAAAUAAAACCAUUAUGGUUUGAUUUAAAAAAUUUCAGCGGAAAAAUUUUAAAAAUUUUGAUUAACGUUGUCACAAAAAAGGACUUAGAUCUCAUGACAUUUAAUUGUAUAUCCUCUCUUGCUUAUGAAGUUUUUAUUAAAAAUAAAAAUGAAAACAAUAUGAGCAAUAACAACAGUGAUGCAAACAAAAAUGUUAUAGAAAAUUUAGAAGAAUACUUACAAACGUAUAAAAAAAAUGUAAAAACUAAUGAUGAUGACAUUUAUCAAAUCACAUCUUUUAACAAAUUUAAAGGUGAACAUAUUAACUAUGAUGUAAUUUUGGCUAUUUUAAAUACGACAAGGUUAUUGUUGUAUAAAUAAAAUUAAAUACAAAAAAGAAAAAACAUAAAUAAAUUAAAUAGUAAUAAUAUUAGUAAUAUAUUA
rnacentral:lncRNA from 1 species